rnacentral:rRNA from 1 species
GACGAACGCUGGCGGCGUGCUUAACACAUGCAAGUCGAACGGAAAGGCCCUGCUUUUGUGGGGUGCUCGAGUGGCGAACGGGUGAGUAACACGUGAGUAACCUGCUCUUGACUUUGGGAUAACUUCAGGAAACUGGGGCUAAUACCGGAUAGGAGCUCCUGCUGCAUGGUGGGGGUUGGAAAGUUUCGGCGGGUGGGGAUGGACUCGCGGCUUAUCAGCUUGUUGGUGGGGUAGUGGCUUACCAAGGCUUUGACGGGUAGCCGGCAUGAGAGGGUGACCGGCGACAUUGGGACUGCGAUACGGACCAGACUCCUACGUGAGGCAGCAGUGGGGAAUAUUGCACAAUGGGCGGAAGCCUGAUGCAGAAGCGCCGCGUGCGGGAUGACGGCCUUCGGGUUGUAAACCGCUUUCGCCUGUGACGAAGCGUGAGUGACGGUAAUGGGUAAAGAAGCACCGGCUAACUACGUG